GGGAAGGUGGCUUAGUAGUAGAGUGCUUGCCUCACAUGCAUGAGGCCCUUGGUUCGAUUCCUUAGCAUACCA
rnacentral:tRNA from 1 species